AGUCUGGUGCCAGCAGCCGCGGUAAUUCCAGCUCCAAUAGCGUAUAUUAAAGUUGUUGCAGUUAAAAAGCUCGUAGUCGGAUUUCGGGGCCUGCCGAGCGGUCUGCCGAUGGGUAUGCACUGUUCGGCGCGUCCUUCUUUCCGGAGACUAAUUCUACUCUUAACUGAGCGGAAUUGGGAGACGGAUCGUUUACUUUGAAAAAAUCAGAGUGUUUCAAGCAGGCAGCUCGCUCUUGCAUGGAUUAGCAUGGGAUAAUGAAAUAGGACUCUGGUGCUAUUUUGUUGGUUUCGAACACCGGAGUAAUGAUUAACAGGGACAGUCAGGGGCACUCGUAUUCCGUCGAGAGAGGUGAAAUUCUCAGACCAAUGGAAGACGAACCACUGCGAAAGCAUUUGCCAGGGAUGUUUUCGCUGAUCAAGAACGAAAGUUAGGGGAUCGAAGACGAUCAGAUACCGUCGUAGUCUUAACCAUAAACCAUGCCGACUAGGGAUUGGAGGGUGUUCUAUUCGACCCCUUCAGCACCUUACGGGAAACUAAAGUCUUUGGGUUCCGGGGGGAGUAUGGUCGCAAGGCUGAAACUUAAAGGAAUUGACGGAAGGGCACCACCAGGAGUGGAGCCUGCGGCUUAAUUUGACUCAACACGGGGAAACUUACCAGGUCCAGACAUUGUUAGGAUUGACAGAUUGAGAGCUCUUUCUUGAUUCGAUGGGUGGUGGUGCAUGGCCGUUCUUA
rnacentral:rRNA from 1 species